rnacentral:piRNA from 1 species
UGCACUUCAUGUUGAGAACUGUAGGUCCUC